CCCUAGCCCGGACAGGAACGGCAUCCUUUUGUGGCGGUCCCGAGGCUUCGGGAUGGCCACAAAAGAUACAGUGGAUGGCCGGAAUCAGC
rnacentral:sRNA from 1 species